rnacentral:miRNA from 1 species
UGUGGGCAAAGUGAGUGGGAUC